ACGAACGCUGGCGGCGUGCUUAACACCUGCCGGUCGAACGGAAAGGCCCCUUUGGGGGUACUCGAGUGGCGAACGGGUGAGUAACACGUGAGUAACCUGCCCUUGACUUCGGGAUAACUUCAGGAAACUGGGGCUAAUACCGGAUAGGAAUCCUUGCUGCAUGGUGGGGGUUGGAAAGCUUCGGCGGUUUUGGAUGGACUCGCGGCUUAUCAGCUUGUUGGUGGGGUAGUGGCUUACCAAGGCUUUGACGGGUAGCCGGCCUGAGAGGGCGACCGGCCACAUUGGGACUGAGAUACGGCCCAGACUCCUACGGGAGGCAGCAGUGGGGAAUAUUGCACAAUGGGCGGAAGCCUGAUGCAGCAACGCCGCGUGCGGGAUGACGGCCUUCGGGUUGUAAACCGCUUUCAGCAGGGGCGAAGCUUGUGGUGACGGUACCUGCAGAAGAAGCACCGGCUAACUACGUG
rnacentral:rRNA from 1 species